CUCUAGGUCAGUGGACCAAGAAAUAUAAAUUAAAUCCUAUCAAUUAAUAUACUUCAAUAUACUUUCUUUAAAUUACUUUAAUAUUUCAUAGUUAAUACAGAGGAUAAAGUUAAAACUAUAAUGUGAAGAAAUCCCUAUUUAUUCACUCGGUAGAUUUAACUAUCGAACAAAGAUCACCCCUCUGGCUCAUUAAGCUUCAAAGAAUUCGUCAAUCAACCCCUCUAUCUGUGCGGCCAGCAUUCGUACUACCGAACACCACGUGGCUGAGAAAACCACGGCCAUCUUUUUUCAGCCGAACAAAGGCAGCGGGACUUGGUCGUCGAGUGUCUGGAA